GCGACCGCAGUGCGGAACCACCCGGCAAAGGCGACUGUAGCGGCCCCGGCGUGCACAGGUCCCCCGAACCCACCCUCCGUGCCCGCCGCGGGUCCAAAAGGGAUCCUGCAAAAAUGAGCCAUUCUCACCCUGCUGGAUUACUUGCUGCAUAUAAUAGUCUCACGGAUAAACACCUGGCUGGAUAUUUUAACAAUACAAGGAUAAGGCGGCAUCUCUUAAGAUCAGGGCUGAUCACAAGAAAUGGAAGAAUACUUUCUGAAAAGGAAUACAAACUAAACAUCAUGAAGAAGGAUCACCAAAAAUAUAUCCGGGAGUGCUUAGCCCAGGCUAUUUUCCAUAAGGUUCUUGAUAUGGAGCGUUACCAUCAGCUUGAAAUAAAAAAGAAACUGGAGACCUUAGCUAGGAAGGAGCGAAUUCAGAGAUUUAAGGGAGAGCACACAAGAUGGACUAUAGAAAAUAACACACCCCUCCUGUCUCCCCGCCCCCCCGUUGGCCCCAAGACUAACCGUGGCCAUAGUGUUCUGGUCGAUGAAGGGCAUUCCAGUCCAGUAACACCGACAGCCCCUCGACCAUACACUGCUCCUGGAAAUAUGCAGCCUCCAUUUCGAUUACAACCUCUUCCCAGUAAUUCUGCAGUACGAACUGUUCCAAAGAUAACUUUGGGAUCCAGAUCAAAAACCUCAUUGCUGGAAACUGAAACUUCAUUUCCCAUUGGGGGCAAGAAGGCAAUGAUGAAGUUCAGGAACUCCAUGGACAAUUCACAGGGAAUGAAUCGAUACCAAUUUCCGAGCAUUAACCGUUACAUUAUGCCUAUUCCUCCUCCACUUCCUCCCACCAGUGGAAAAAUCACAAGAGAAAAUAGACCUGAAACAUGGAGAAGGAGAAGAUUUCGUCCAACCACUGCUCCAAAUGGCUUAGAACCUGUCUUUACUAAGGAUUCAAGAAGGAUUCAUAAAACACCACUACAUAGUAAUGCAGCUAUUACAAUGAUCUAUUUGGGGAAAAGUGUGCACCUAGCUUAUGAUCACUCAGAUUUCCGGGAUGAAAUAAAAGUUUAUCAACAGCACUGUGGUGGAGAAAACCUGUGUGUCUACACAGGCAAGCUACUUGAAAAAGAGACCUUUCAGUUUAUUUCCAAAAGGCACCAAGGUUUCCCGUUCAGCCUCACCUUUUUCCUGAACGGGAUACAGGUGAACAGGUUAAGCUCCUGCUGUGAAUAUAAGCAUCGAAAAGGUUCCAGACUUGGAGGCAAACGAGGCUACUUCGGGUUUGUGUGUGUCGAGAGAUCAUCACCUUGUUACAAGUGCAUUAUUGCAAUGGGCCUUGACAAAAAAACAACUUCUCCAAAACCCAGGAAAGAAAAGAACGCUGAGAAAAAAGAGGGACAGAAGAAGGGUGAGGGGAAACUGAGAAAGGAUAGAGAGUACCUGAUACCAAGAAGGAGAGAGAUGGAGGGGAGCAAAGCCUCAGCUUCAGCCAUUGUUUCAGCUCAAGAACUACACGCAGGGCUCAGUGAAGUGAGAACCGCUGUGGAAGAAAUGGAAUGUAAAGAAAAACCAGGGCAAGAUGUCUGGGAAGAUGACCAAGAAAACAUAUUUAAAUACGAUGGAAAAACUGCUUCAUCAACCUCAUCCAGAAGUCACCCAUAUUCUAGUUCUAGUGAAGAUGAAUCUGCAGUGGGGGACCAGGAGACCAACGCUGAAAACAGUCCAGAUGAAAGUGUCAGAAGUCCAUCUUCUCAAGAGUUGAGUGAAAAUGAUAAGCCAGGAAAAACCCACCUUCCAACUGAGGAUUCUCCAGAAAUUGAAGAACAAGAAAUAAUAAAAACAGAUGUGGAGACCAAGCCUCUGCUGAUAGAGGAAAAUUUGGAGAAUGUUCUUGAACAAGAAGCAGAGAAAGGAACUGGAAUGAUUGCAGAGAGCUUAUUUGAGAAGUCCAGGGAACAUGUUUCCAAGGAAGAAAAGGAAAAGAGGAAGAGUAAGCUUUGGGAAGAAAGCACUGCUAAGGUGAAGGACAAAAAGGCAGGUCCCCAUAGGGUGGAUAAAGGUGGUAAGUACGGCCUUUGAAUUCUUUACCAACUGAGCCUCCAAGGAAGCCCCAUUAGGAAUCUGGUGGUGGAGGAAAGGACUGUACUCAGCUCAAACAAGAAAUCCAAGCAAGUUGCAUCAGAAGAGCAUACCCUGGAGACGAAAGAAGCCGUGGAGGAAGGUGAAAGUCCUCAACACAGGAAUGCUGACACAGAAGGAAAAGGGGAUACAGCACGGCAGGGAAAAGCCGGGGUUAAUGAGGUUCCCUCGGGGCAGGGGAAGCCAAAAGUAGAACAGCUGGCAUUAGUAGGACAGUUUACGGAGCAAAGAGAGCUCUCUCAGGGCAGAGCAGUUGAGGCAGAGGCAGAAGCAGAAGGGGAUAGAAGGCAGGAUAAAGAAGGGUUAGGUGCCAGAGAAGGAGAAGCAGCAAAAGACUCUGGAGGUCUGAAUGAAGGUGAGGCUGCUGAGGCACCGGCCCUGAUGCAAACAGUGCUGGAGACGGAGCAGGCAGCUUCUGAAGGUGGGCAGGCUUCAGAGAGGGCAGUGCUGGCAAGCCAGGCAGCAGCUCUGAACUCAGGGUGUGCUCAGGAGACAGCGGCUCUAAGAGAGGCAGUGAGGCCAGAGAAGGGAAAGUCUGAGAGCGCGGCUGUGAGUGCAGUUGGGUCUGCAAAGCUGGGCAUGGAGGACAGUGAAGAGGAAGCAUGUACAGACCUAGAGGACAGGGGGCCCAUGGAAGACGCUACAUCUGACAGAGAGGAGGGUUUAGAAGAGGCAAUGCUGGGGCGAGACGAGCCGACCAAAGAGAGAGAGGCAGUCACAGGAAUGGAGACACCUUUGAGCUCCUCCACUUCUGAGAAGGUUGAGGCUACUCAGAUGGGGAGUUCAGUGGACAGCCUGGAAGGACUUCGUAAGGACCAGGUGGAAAAGGAGGGGAUGGUGAUGGAGUCAGAGUCUAAUACAGAUGAUGAUAGGAAAGAAAUGUUACCUGAGGAAUUAGACUCAGAAACGAGAGACAAGAGGAAAGCUGAGAGUUCAAAAACACCUCUGGGGGAAACUGAAUCUGAGAGAGAAGAGGUGACAAGGGCAAAGGUGCUUCAGGAUGAAGACACUUCAGAAGAGGAACAAAAUCAUAAAGGGAAAGCAGGGGAACCUGUGCAGGAAGAAAGACCAGAGGAAGAGACACAAGCCUCCCCAAAUGAAACGGAGUGUGAUGCCGAGGGUGAAGCAGCCGUGGUGGCAUCUGAGGUGACUGAAGACGCAGGGCAACAAGGAGAGGACUCACUGAGAGACCAGGAGGUAGACAUGUUUGAAGCGGCCCCUGGAUUUGAAAAUUCCCUAGAAAACACAACGGUCUGGGGGAAAGGGGAAGGAGGGGAAAGACUGAGAGAUGCCGGAACCACAGAGCACAGAGGCUCAACAGAGCUGCUCUUUAGUGAGAAUGUGGCCCACGAAGAGCAGGAAGAGGAGUCUACCCCUGCAGGAGAGAGGGUGUCAGGAGCCCCCGAAACCAAGUCCACAGGGAAAGCACAAACUCCCAGGGGUGCAGGUAAGGCCCAGGGGUCUGCAACCAAAGAUCAACACGUGGUCACCAACCAGGAGGGGAGGAAUAAAGACGGGCCUUUACAGGGGCCAGAGGGAGUAGCCGUCACAGCCUUGACCCAAGAUGUUCCUGAGGGAGAUUCCAUGAUGGCAGGAAAACUCAGUGAAGUGAUGGAUGAGAUUGCAGAGGAGGAGGUGGAUAAAGAGUGCACGCUGGGGACAGGAGUGCCGAAGAACGGGGCCCCUAAGGGGGACGGGAGCGUGCAUGGCGUGGUUAUGACUGUGGAAGAUCCCCAUCAAGGAGGAGGAGCCUCAGAAGAAGUUGCAGAGAGGGAGGACGAUUCUGCUGAGGGGAAAAUAGAAGCAAAUAAAGUCUCCUCCUUUUCAGAUGUUGCUGGGGAGGAAGCUUGGCACACAGUGGAUGAGAUGCCAGGAGAAAGAGCAGCUGCAGAGAAGGUGGCUGUAGAGGGGAUAGUGCUGAGCGGGGAGGAUGUACCAGUGGCAGAGGAGAUGACUGCGAUUUCGGCAUUGGAGGCUGAGGUUGAGGCUCCAGAGGAACCUUUUAACCUGGAAGGGAAGGUUCCAAAGCCAGGGCCAGCUGGGGAGGCAGAGAAGGCUGAAACAACCCUAGGGGCUGAGUCUGAGUUGGUGGGGGAGGAGGCAGGGAAGGGGAGUCCUGAUGGGGAGCAGGAGUCAGGGGAAGCUGAAGAAUUUAGACUAGAAUUAUCCCAAGAGAGCGGGUCAGAGGCCAGGAGAGAGAGUCCACAGGAUGCAGAAACACUUUCUGAAAAGCCCAACUGCAGGGAAAUCCAAGAGAAGCAAGAGCUUUCUGUGCAAAGAGGAAGUGAGGACCUGGAUGUUUCCUUGAGUCCGGGGAAGGCCUAAGAGACUUCAUGGCUGAUGGAUAUUUUCAAGACGUCUUCCAGAAGACUUGGAGUGGAGGAGAA
rnacentral:misc_RNA from 1 species